CAACCCUCAGGGCCCCCCUCCGGGGGACCUGGCGCUGGGGGACGGCACCGGCGGGCGUCCCUCCCGACGCCCGCCCGCCGCCCCCGAAAUGCAGUGGCGGCCACGCAGCAGCGACCCCCGCGUAGUAGCACACACGCUCGCGAGUGGAAGCGCCGCGCGGCCACGCCGUGAAACAGCGCGAGCCCCCGGGCUCCGCGACGCCUCAGAG
rnacentral:misc_RNA from 1 species